UAUUCUUCUUGUAUUCAUAAC
rnacentral:piRNA from 1 species